AGAGUUUGAUCCUGGCUCAGGAUGAACGCUGGCGGCGUGCCUAACACAUGCAAGUCGAGCGGACCAAUGCUCAUUUCAGCUUUGCUGAUUUGAGCAACGGUUAGCGGCGGACGGGUGAGUAACGCGUGGGCAACCUGCCCUGUGCAGGGGGAUAACACAGCGAAAGCUGUGCUAAUACCCCAUAAGACUACGCUAUCGCAUGAUAGAGUAGUCAAAGCUUUAGCGGCACAGGAUGGGCCCGCGUCUGAUUAGCUAGUUGGUGGGGUAACGGCCUACCAAGGCGACGAUCAGUAGCCGACCUGAGAGGGUGAUCGGCCACACUGGAACUGAGACACGGUCCAGACUCCUACGGGAGGCAGCAGUGGGGAAUAUUGCACAAUGGGGGAAACCCUGAUGCAGCAACGCCGCGUGAGCGAAGAAGGCCUUCGGGUCGUAAAGCUCUGUCCUAAGGGAAGAAGCAUGACGGUACCUUAGGAGGAAGCCCCGGCUAACUACGUGCCAGCAGCCGCGGUAAUACGUAGGGGGCGAGCGUUAUCCGGAAUCGCUGGGCGUAAAGGGUGCGUAGGCGGCCGAGUAAGCCAGAGGUGAAAGGCUACGGCUUAACCGUAGUAAGCCUUUGGAACUACUUGGCUUGAGUGCANGAGAGGAGAGUGGAAUUCCUAGUGUAGCGGUGAAAUGCGUAGAUAUUAGGAGGAACACCAGUGGCGAAAGCGACUCUCUGGACUGUAACUGACGCUGAGGCACGAAAGCGUGGGGA
rnacentral:rRNA from 1 species